AAUAAACCAAAUUUUCACUUUUUAUCUUCAAUUUUUGAUUUUUCGUAUUAUUAAAAAAUUUUGCGAUUGAUAUUUUUGUUUUUAUUAGAUGAUAAAUUAUAAAUAGUACUUUACGUGUGACUAAUUUUUUUUCUGAUUUUCUAAAAAAUUUUCAAAAAGACGGAUGGUCAAAUAUUGGACACGAAAACCGGAGAAUUCGUUUUUU
rnacentral:pre_miRNA from 1 species